CUACGGGGUGCACCAGUGGGGAAUAUUGGACAAUGGGGGCAACCCUGAUCCAGCCAUGCCGCGUGUGUGAAGAAGGCCUUAGGGUUGUAAAGCACUUUCAGUGGUGAGGAAGGGUGUGCAGUUAAUACCUGUAUAUCUUGACGUUAGCCACAGAAGAAGCACCGGCUAACUCUGUGCCAGCAGCCGCGGUAAUACAGAGGGUGCGAGCGUUAAUCGGAAUUACUGGGCGUAAAGCGCGCGUAGGUGGUUUGUUAAGUCGGAUGUGAAAUCCCCGGGCUCAACCUGGGAACUGCACCCGAUACUGGCAGGCUAGAGAACGAUAGAGGGGUGUGGAAUUUCCUGUGUAGCGGUGAAAUGCGUAGAUAUAGGAAGGAACAUCAGUGGCGAAGGCGACACCCUGGAUUGAUACUGACACUGAGGUGCGAAAGCGUGGGGAGCAAACAGGAUUAGAUACCCCAGUAGUC
rnacentral:rRNA from 1 species